rnacentral:tRNA from 1 species
CUUCUACCUGGACCAGGUCGCCCAGGUGGUGAUGGACCGCUGGUCCGACGGCCGGGUGGUGCUGCUCGGUGACGCGGCGUUCAGCUCGUCGCCGAUGUCC